UGGUGAGUAGCCUGGGUUGAUGACUUCCUC
rnacentral:piRNA from 1 species